UCACCUCUUGCUAUAAUAUUCACUAUUGAACUUCAUUCAAUAACGUUCAAUUAAUCAGAAAGGUUACUGUAUGUGACUGCUGUAGAUUCAGCCUCAAGUGGCGGACCUUUCUCUCUGUGGGCUAAGGUUUUAGAUCGGAAGUAAUUCGUCUGCACGCAAGGAAGAGAGUUGUUUACAAACAGAAGAGAAAGUUGGACAUGUAGCUAACUUGAGACAAACAGUUACGAAAUAGCCUAGAAGAAUGCAUCUCUCAAGUUUUACACUCAUGGAUUUGUACUUUAACUAGCUAACAGCUCGAGACAGACUGAGAACCUGUUAUUCAAACCUUGGGCACGAGGGAGUCAGCAAACCUCCCUACUAGCCAGAAAUGGUAGCUGAGUGAGAGGAGCACGUGUGUAUGGUUGCAGGUGUGAGAACCCACCCGGGGUCAGAUGUCAGGGAGGAUGUCAGAGGAAGGGGGCAAUCUGACGCUGAGGCGUCUUGAAGGGCCGAUCCACAAGUUCACUAAAGUAGCCCUGCCGACAGACCUAGAAAGACUACAGAGACACCACAGCAAUAUACUGAAGUUCCAGCAUAGUGGACAAUGGGAUCGCCUUCACCAGGAGCACAUCAAUGCCAGCCGCACUGUGCAGCAGUUGAGGUCUAAUGUUAGAGAGAUGGAGAAGCUGUGUGGACGUGUCCGCCCGGAGGACAGCCCCGCCCUGGAGAGGCUGGUUCAGCCAAUCAGAGACCGAGCAUCUGCUGCCACGCAAGACUUCCUACUCCUGCAUUCUAACCCCGCCCCUCUGCCACAGGCACCACGCCCCCCAGACCACUCAUCCUCAGGUGGUUCCCAUGGUGAUGAUGUGGGCAGGGAGCCCCCUCCUGUUAAUCAAACGCAGCUCCUCCUCCCAGUGAUCCCCCUCAAUGAGAGUGCUGCUGAGUCCUGGGACACUCUGGAGGAGGACCUGAAGGAGCUUAGCGGUUUGGUGACAGAGUUCUCUCUGCUGGUCCAUUCCCAGCAGGAGAAGAUUGACAGCAUAGAGGAGAACGUCAACACAGCAGCAGCCAACGUGGAGGAGGGGACCAGGAGCCUCGGGAAGGCGGUGGGCUACAGGCUGGCAGUGUUACCCGUGGCGGGGGCAGUGUUAGGGGGGGUGUUGGGUGGGCCGCUGGGCCUACUGGUGGGGUUCAAGGCAGCGGGGGUGGCAGCAGCGCUUGGAGGGGGGGCUCUGGGGUUUGCAGGGGGGAACCUGGUCCAGAAGAAACGCAGAGCUAGAGUAGAGUCCCAGAUGAACCAGCUCACUGCACACCCUACGGAACCAGAACCACCGCUGGACAAGGACAAGUGACCUCUGAUUGGUCGUGAAGGGACCUCUGACCUCCAGAAGCUUACACUGGUCCAGAUUUGCUCUCUUUACUGUGGUACUAAGGAACUCCUCCUCAUUCUCACUGCCAAUAGACAGAGGAGAGAGGUCUGUCAAGAGAGGCCUACUGUGAAGAGAAGCCUGCCCCUGGGAUCUACCACUUCCCAAUCAAUAAGACUUUUAAACAUUGUAGGAGAGCCUUGAGGACCUGAGUGUGAAAGGGAGGUGUGAAUGCUGUGUUAGUUGAGUGUGAUGUAUGUAUAUAUGCUGGGUCUGUUGGCUUUGUAUUUAAAACUUAAGUAACUGUCCAGUGUUUCCAGAUUUCUAUUAAAUAUGACCUACACAUUUUUACAAUAUAAAUGAAAUAGUUUUCCUUCCAAAAUAUUUUAAAUAUGUUAAAAAGCAGCUUGUCUGUGUUGGAAUGGUGUGGGCGUAUACUGAUCUUAAAAAUAUUCAUGCGAGUAGACCGCUGAUUGGCCAGCUCAUCCUCUGAGGAAACAGCAAGUUUUGAGAUACAAGUUUGCGUUUUUUUUUGUUCUACAAUUAAUAUUUUGCCCACACAUACAGGUAUAGGAUGAGUCAACUGGACUUUCACUGCACAGUUACUUUAAGUGUAUGAUAUGUUAUGAAAAGAUGUGCAUUAUUAGUAGCAAACACUACAGCCUGUCUAGUUUUGUAACAUAAGUCCUGCUGUUUGGUGCCUUUUAGUACAGAUGGGGAGAUGGUAGUUUUAUUAAAGUCAUGUUAUUAUACUGUGUUUCUUGGACAGACUUGUCUUAACUUCCCUCAGUCUUGAUCAAAUACACACUGUGCCAAAGCCAGACACUGCCUGGGUCGAGCAGUCACCCAUCUCUCUAGUUUAUGAACUUAUUGAUGUUUAUCUGAGUCUGCUGCUCUGCUUAGAGUAUACAGCUCAUUAACAGAGGGAGGAGGGAGGUAUAAACAGCAGUAAAUGUCAAGACUGUGUCCUGGUCUGAACCCUGCUGGAGAGGAGGUCUGCUCCCUCUGACAGACUGGGGAGCAGAGAAUAAGAAUUAGUGAUUGUGAUUGAGAAAGGUUAGGAGGAUAAACAGCUGUCCUGGGUGUACCAGGUAGAAAGUUGUGAUGCGUGAUAGGCCAAAGUUUCCCCUCUAAUAAGUGCCACGAGAGAAACAGGUCACACCUGAUGUCAUCUACUACAACAGUAGAUGACCUCUGAACUCAGACCGGGACCAACCAAAUAUGGAUGCUCUUAAUCUAUGUGAUGAUUUACUGGGGUUUUAUAUUGCCAAAGAAAACCAAUAAAAUCUGCUUCUGAUGAAAGAAUUGUGUGUGUGUGUGUAAAGAGUAUUCUCUGUAGAACUGAACAAACAGACUCAACACACAACAUCCUGUAAAAUGGUUUCAUUUACUUGUUUUAUUUUCUCCCUCUCCGAGAUGACUGAUUUAGAAAUGAGAUUUCUCCCCCUUUAACCCUCCCUUCGUGAUUGGUCAGAUCAGGGUACUGUUGGGUUCUAGGGAGGGACUGUACACACAGUACUAUAAAUAAA